GAUGAACGCUGGCGGCGUGCCUAAUACAUGCAAGUCGAGCGAACAGACGAGGAGCUUGCUCCUCUGACGUUAGCGGCGGACGGGUGAGUAACCCGUGGAUAACCUACCUAUAAGACUGGGAUAACUUCGGGAAACCGGAGCUAAUACCGGAUAAUAUAUUGAACCGCAUGGUUCAAUAGUGAAAGACGGUUUUGCUGUCACUUAUAGAUGGAUCCGCGCCGCAUUAGCUAGUUGGUAAGGUAACGGCUUACCAAGGCAACGAUGCGUAGCCGACCUGAGAGGGUGAUCGGCCACACUGGAACUGAGACACGGUCCAGACUCCUACGGGAGGCAGCAGUAGGGAAUCUUCCGCAAUGGGCGAAAGCCUGACGGAGCAACGCCGCGUGAGUGAUGAAGGUCUUCGGAUCGUAAAACUCUGUUAUUAGGGAAGAACAAAUGUGUGAGUAACUAUGCACGUCUUGACGGUACCUAAUCAGAAAGCCACGGCUAACUACGUG
rnacentral:rRNA from 1 species